rnacentral:lncRNA from 1 species
UAUCAUCUCAUCAUACAUUUUAAGAGUUCCACUAGUGGAGAAAUCACCUUUACAAAAUCCAACAUUUCAACUUCAUAGAGUAGGGUUGAAUUUAACAGAGUGAAUUUGAGAGUCAUAAUAUGCAACCUGACAGGGUUCGGUAGGGUCUCGGGUUAAAGGAAUUUCUCACCAAAAACCUAAACGAUUAUAUAUGAAAUUACAAAAACACCCUUGAUAUUUCUAAUUAUUUUUAUUUUUACCUUAAUAUAAAUAGAAUAAGAAUAAAAUUAGGUUCCAGUGCUUCACCAUUCCAUUAUAGUUUUAUUUGUUUUGGGUAUUUGAAUAUUUGCAUUUUCUAAUAUUUAUUGUUCGUUGUGUAUGCUUCAAAAUUCUUUCAUAAUGGCCAUUAGUUUUGUGAUAAUUUUGUUAGAACUUAUUUAAAAGGAUAACGUGUUUAUUUAUAGGUUGGUAAUACAAAAGCAAACUGGCAAGCGGAUAGGUGGAUAGGGUUUGGGGUUAUUUUUCUCGAGACGGGGCGGGGAGGAUUUUGUAAGGAGGGUUCUCCGAACCAAACUUACUCGUUGCCAUCCUUAAAUAUACACUUAACAUUGAUAAUUAAGUGAUUUUUAUAUCGUAAUAAUACUUGAUGUAUUCGCAUAGUCUCUUCAGUGUGUGGGAAAGAAAUAAAAUUGGUGUAUGUAAUUUCAUUGUAAUAUAUGUAUAGUAAACCUUUUACUACACACUUUAAAACAUGCCUAUGAGUGUACGGUGUGCUAUGAUGUAUCACAAUUGAGUACACACCCACUUGUAUUCAAUUUGUGGAAGCUUCAUAUUUCUCAUUCCAGAUACAGUUCUGAUUUUGGCAACAUCAUUCGACUCACAGGAACUAAACAAGAAGAUAAUUUUCAGAUAAACAAGUUCGGAAUAAAUUAAUAAAAAAAAACUUAGUUACGAAUGAACCAUACUACUUUAAGGCCCUAUUUGGUAAUACUUAAACGCAUAGUUAUUAGAAUCGGAUCGGAUAUUGAACCGGUCAAGCCACCGGUUCAACGGUUUACUGGUUCAACCACGGUUCAAUCGGUUCAACCGAUCUUAUAAUUAAUAAAUAAUAAAAAUAUUUUUUUUUUACCCCUUUAACUACUAUGUAAGUGUUUGAACGUUAAUUAUGAAAAAACAAAAUAUUUAAAAUAUAAAAUAUUACAUGAAAUCUUACAAUUGCAACUUUUAUAUAUAAUUUCAAAUACUCUUAGAAAGAAAAUUGGCCAAAUGGGUGUAAAUUAUAUAUCUUCUAUCGUGAAUAAUAAUAAUAGUAAAAAUAUUAUAUUAAUAAGAAAAUAUAAAAAAUUCAAAAUUCAAAAUUUCAAUUCAAAUUUUUAGGGCUAAACUGCAAAAAUUAAAAUUAUAAUUUUUCUGUUAAAAAUCGGCCGGUUCAACCGGUUAAAAAAUCGGCCGAUACGAUAAAAAAAUAGUUGGUUCAAUCCAGUUCACUUACAUUUUCGAUAAAAUAGUUGUACCAAACUGGUUCAGUGCCCGGUUCCCGGUUGAACCAGCCAGUUCGGUCCGAUUUUGAUAACUAUGCUUAAAAGUUAUGUUUUUUUUGUUUUUUUUGUUUUUAUAGUUUUACUUUAGUUAAAAAUAAACAAAAAAAAAAUAAAAAGCAAAAAAGCAAUUCUAAUUAAUGUUUUUGCUUAUAAAUUUAAAAAAACAACGAAAAACUGAUACAAACCGUGCCUAAGUUUAAUAAAUUACACUUGACUUUGUAUUAACCACCAGGUCCACCACCACCUUUCGUACAAGGAAACACGACGAAAUUAACAAACAAGCAGAAAGGAAAUGAACAAGAGUGAUUCAAGCUUCCAUCUGAAUCCUUUGGAAAAAAAUUCACAAAACAAAAAAAUCCUUGAAAUUCAAAUGGGAUCACAACACAACACAUCUCUUCGGAACGC